rnacentral:tRNA from 1 species
GGAGUUGUAGCUCAGUGGUAGAGCUCUUGCCUUGCAUGCGUGAAGCCCUGGGUUCUUUCCCCAGCACCA